rnacentral:rRNA from 1 species
GACGAACGCUGGCGGCGUGCUUAACACAUGCAAGUCGAACGGAAAGGCCCUGCUUUUGUGGGGUGCUCGAGUGGCGAACGGGUGAGUAACACGUGAGUAACCUGCCCUUGACUUUGGGAUAACUUCAGGAAACUGGGGCUACUACCGGAUAGGAGCUCCUGUUGCAUGGUGGGGGUUGGAAAGUUUCGGCGGUUGGGGAUGGACUCGCGGCUUAUCAGCUUGCUGGUGGGGUAGUGGCUUACCGAGGCUUUGACGGGUAGCCGGCCUGAGAGGGUGACCGGCCACAUGGGGACUGAGAGACGGCGCAGACUCCUACGGGAGGCAGCAGUGGGGAAUAUUGCACAAUGGGCGGAAGCCUGAGGCAGCAACGCCGCGGGCGGGAUGACGGCCUGCGGGUUGUGAACCGCUUUCGCCUGUGACGAAGCGUGAGUGACGGUAAUGGGUAAGGAAGCACCGGCUAACUACGUG